GCUGGGCGUGGUGGGGCACGCCUGUAAUCCCAGCAGCUCAGGAAGCUGAGGCAGGAGGAGCAGAGCCAGCCUCGGCAAAAGCAAGGUGUAAACAACUCAGUGAGACCCUGUCUCUA
rnacentral:sRNA from 1 species